rfam:Collimonas arenae strain Cal35, complete genome.
GGAGAGGUGGCAGAGUGGUCGAAUGUACUUGACUCGAAAUCAAGCGUACGUUAAAUCGUACCGUGGGUUCGAAUCCCACCCUCUCCG